AUUGAACGCUGGCGGCAGGCUUAACACAUGCAAGUCGAGCGGAGAUGAGGUGCUUGCACCUUAUCUUAGCGGCGGACGGGUGAGUAACGCUUAGGAAUCUGCCUAUUAGUGGGGGACAACAUUCCGAAAGGAAUGCUAAUACCGCAUACGUCCUACGGGAGAAAGCAGGGGAUCUUCGGACCUUGCGCUAAUAGAUGAGCCUAAGUCGGAUUAGCUAGUUGGUGGGGUAAAGGCCAACCAAGGCGACGAUCUGUAGCGGGUCUGGGAGGAUGAUCCACCACACUGGGACUGAGACACGGCCCAGACUCCUACGGGAGGCAGCAGUGGGGAAUAUUGGACAAUGGGGGGAACCCUGAUCCAGCCAUGCCGCGUGUGUGAAGAAGGCCUUAUGGUUGUAAAGCACUUUAAGCGAGGAGGAGGCUACUGAGACUAAUACUCUUGGAUAGUGGACGUUACUCGCAGAAUAAGCACCGGCUAACUCUGUGCCAGCAGCCGCCGUAAAAC
rnacentral:rRNA from 1 species